GUUUAGUAAAUCUGGUUCUAAAAGGUUUGAAGCAAGUAAAUGAUGUUACCUUUUCUCCUUGUUGAAUGACUGUAUCAGAACCAGCUGCAUACCUUCUCUCCUUUGGGUCCUUGGAAGUUCAAUCCCAUGUUUCCCUUCAAGAAAUGCUCACCCUGGAGCCUGGUAAACCAUUAAUGCCAGGAUCCCCAUUUUCUGAAGGCCGAUUAAUUUCUAUGACAUCCCCAGGCUCCCCCUACAGAAAAAAAAGAAAAGAACCUAGUGGACCCUGUGGAGCCAAGAAAAUAUGAAUUAUUUUGAGAAUAAUGACUUCAAAUA